rnacentral:rRNA from 1 species
AUGCUGAUGUUUCAUGAAUUUUAUAUCGGGACUCUCGACAUGGUGUGCUUGAACUUUGGUGUCAUUACCCUGAUCCCCAAAAUAGUGGUCGAGAAUCCGGAUGGUGAAGAGCCCCGCGCCUCUCCCCCACACAGGCAGCACAUUUGUCGAAGUGGAGGCUGUCGUGGAACGUGGCCGGCGGGCUUCGAGCUAAGCCUGGCGCUCUUCGCCCUCGUCGGCGCCGUCUGCUACUACACCGGCACGCUCAUAGCGCUCUGCAUGCGCGCCGACGGCUCCGUCGCCACCUACCCGGACGUCGGCCAGCUGGCCUUCGGCGCCGCCGGCCGGAGAACCGUCGCCGUGUUCAUGUACGUGGAGCUCUACCUCGUCGCCAUCAGCUUCCUGGUCCUCGAGGGCGACAACCUCGACAAGCUCUUCCCCGGCGCCGGCGUGGAGCUGCUCGUCGCGUCUGCGGCCUUGACGGCGUCGCUUGUGUGGGCCGGCGUCUCUGAGUCCGGGUUCGGCGGGAGCGGCAACGUCCUCAACCUCGCCGGCCUGCCCACCUCCCUCGGCCUCUACUUCGUCUGCUUCACCGGCCACGCCGUCUUUCCCACGAUAUACUCGUCCAUGAAGAACCGCGAGCGCUUCUCCCAAGUGCUGCACUUCUCCUCGGUGCUCUGCAGCCUCAACUACGGGCUCACGGCGGUGCUGGACUACCUCAUCUACGGAGACAACGUGCAGUCGCAGGUGACGCUCGACCUGCCAUCAGGGAGGCUCUACACCAAGAUCGCCAUCGUCAUGACCCUCGUCAACCCGCUGACCAAGUACGCGCUGCUCGUCGCGCCCAUCACGUCGGCGAUCGAGGAGACGUUCUCGCUCGUGGGGAGUGGGUCGGCGAGGGUGGCCGUUAGCACCGCCCUUCUCGUGAGCACGGUCGCAGUGGCGUCCAUGGUGCCGUUCUUCGGGUUCCUCAUGUCCUUCAUCGGUUCCUUCCUCAGCGUCAUAGCCACAGUCUUCUUCCCCUGCCUCUGCUACCUCAAGAUCUACAGAGCCAAAGGCCUACGCCGGGUCGAGGUCGCGGCAAUCGUGGCCAUCCUGCUGCUAGGGGCGUUCGUUGCCAUCACUGGCACCUACACUUCUUUGUUGGACAUCAUAGGCACUUUCUGA